rnacentral:rRNA from 1 species
CACCGCCCGUCACACCAUGGGAAUUGGGUCUACCCGAAGGCGGUGCGCCAACCAGCAAUGGAGGCAGCCGACCACGGUAGGCUCAGUGACUGGGGUG